rnacentral:rRNA from 1 species
CACGUAGGGGGCGAGCGUUGUCCGGAUUUAUUGGGCGUAAAGAGCUCGUAGGCGGCUCGGUAAGUCAGGUGUGAAACCUCCAGGCUCAACCUGGAGACGCCACCUGAUACUGCCGUGGCUAGAGUCCGGUAGAGGAGCGUAGAAUUCCUGGUGUAGCGGUGAAAUGCGCAGAGAUCGGGAGGAACACCCGUAGCGAAGGCGGCACUCUGGGCCGGUACUGACGCUGAGGAGCGAAAGCGUGGGGAGCAAACAGG